GCUUUUUGCUGUCAGUCAAGUGACAACCUCAGUAGGAAGCUCUGUGUGUUCAUGGGCCUCCUGAGGCCCAGCACUACAUUUAGCUGGGGGAAAGGGGAAAAAAAAAAAAAAGGAAAAAUAAGAAAGCAGAGGGGAUGAAGCACAAACUCUUCCUUUAGUAUGCAAUUCCACAGCCUGCAGGAAAAUUUCACCCAUCUCCUCUGAAAAGCCUUUUCCUACAAAAAUGUGAUCCUAUUUACUCCACUCCCACACAACUUCCACACUACUUGGCUAUUUGCAAAAGAGUGUAAAAUAACCCCAGGAAGUGUAAGACUCACACACAGAGUCUCAUUGUCAAAAGGAAUAAUGCCCCAAAGGUGCACCUUUAUCAGGCUUGGCACCAGAGAGUCACUGCAGCUCCUUCCCAGUACAAGUGCUCAGAUGUGCCCAGCCUUUCCCUCCCUGGAUUUACUGAUUCUUUUGGACCUGAAUUUCAUUGCCUAUGACAGCUGCAAUUCAACAAUACCUAAAAAAGUCAUCAAGAAAGAAAAUCAGAAGGCGACACAUUUUUGAGGUUAUGGAAAAGUGCUUCAAGUGAUGGCUACAGCUACAUCUGUCACACCUCCAUAAAGGUUCUUCUGAUCAUGUUUCACAAAGUGUAUUAUCAUCUCUGGCAUGCAGCAUUACAGCAGACUCUGUGUGAAGACAACAGGCUAAAGCUUCUGCAUGCUGGGAAGCCAAAAAUGCCUCUGGGAUGCUUAUGCAAAUCAUUAGUUUUCUCUGAUAUCUCAACCACUCUGCGUCACACAUAAAAUAUCAACGACUCAAUAUUCAUGUGGCGGAUAAAACACAAGAAUUCAGUGCUCACAUCAAGAAAACAUUGAAUUUUAAAAAAUCUUUAGUUUUGGCAAAUCUAAUAGGGCACAGUGUCAGAGGAAUUGGUAUAGUGGAUAGUGAAUAUCUUAACUUCUUCAAAUCACAGCAAGCAGCUACAACAGACUUUAUUAGUUUGUACUUCCUCCCCCAUCAGAAAGAAACACCACCAAAAAGAAAAUACUUGCAACUACUUCAGUCACUGACAAGAAGAUAUCCAAAAGAACUCCAGGUUUCCACAGAAGGCUUUUCUGCCAGUGCGUACAUGUAAUACUGCUGCCCAGUGCUCUCUGGAGCUCUGUGUGCUCUCUUUCACUUCUGGAAGCCCUGGCAGAUGG
rnacentral:lncRNA from 13 species